rnacentral:rRNA from 1 species
AAUAUAUCGGAACGUGCCCAGUCGUGGGGGAUAACGUAGAGAAAUUUACGCUAAUACCGCAUACGAUCUAAGGAUGAAAGCGGGGGAUCGCAAGACCUCGCGCGAUUGGAGCGGCUGAUAUCAGAUUAGGUUGUUGGUGAGGUAAAAGCUCACCAAGCCGACGAUCUGUAGCUGGUUUGAGAGAACGACCAGCCACACUGGGACUGAGACACGGCCCAGACUCCUACGGGAGGCAGCAGUGGGGAAUUUUGGACAAUGGGCGAAAGCCUGAUCCAGCAAUGCCGCGUGCAGGAAGAAGGCCUUCGGGUUGUAAACUGCUUUUGUACGGAACGAAACGGCUCUUUCUAAUAAAGAGGGCUAAUGACGGUACCGUAAGAAUAAGCACCGGCUAACUACGUGCCAGCAGCCGCGGUAAUACGUAGGGUGCGAGCGUUAAUCGGAAUUGCUGGGCGUAAAGCGUGCGCAGGCGGUUAUGUAAGACAGUUGUGAAAUCCCCGGGCUCAACCUGGGAAUUGCAUCUGUGACUGCAUAGCUAGAGUACGGUAGAGGGGGAUGGAAUUCCGCGUGUAGCAGUGAAAUGCGUAGAUAUGCGGAGG